GAUGAACGUUGGCGGCGUGCCUAAUACAUGCAAGUCGAGCGAACGGACGAGAAGCUUGCUUCUCUGAUGUAAGCGGCGGACGGGUGAGUAACACGUGGAUAACCUACCUAUAAGACUGGGAUAACUUCGGGAAACCGGAGCUAAUACCGGAUAAUAUUUUGAACCGCAUGGUUCAAAAGUGAAAGACGGUCUUGCUGUCACUUAUAGAUGGAUCCGCGCUGCAUUAGCUAGUUGGUAAGGUAACGGCUUACCAAGGCAACGAUGCAUAGCCGACCUGAGAGGGUGAUCGGCCACACUGGAACUGAGACACGGUCCAGACUCCUACGGGAGGCAGCAGUAGGGAAUCUUCCGCAAUGGGCGAAAGCCUGACGGAGCAACGCCGCGUGAGUGAUGAAGGUCUUCGGAUCGUAAAACUCUGUUAUUAGGGAAGAACAUAUGUGUAAGUAACUGUGCACAUCUUGACGGUACCUAAUCAGAAAGCCACGGCUGACUACGUGCCAGCAGCCGCGGUAAUACGUAGGUGGCAAGCGUUAUCCGGAAUUAUUGGGCGUAAAGCGCGCGUAGGCGGUUUUUUAAGUCUGAUGUGAAAGCCCACGGCUCAACCGUGGAGGGUCAUUGGAAACUGGAAAACUUGAGUGCAGAAGAGGAAAGUGGAAUUCCAUGUGUAGCGGUGAAAUGCGCAGAGAUAUGGAGGAACACCAGUGGCGAAGGCGACUUUCUGGUCUUUAACUGACGCUGAUGUGCGAAAGCGUGGGGAUCAGACAGGAGUUAAAUCCCCUUGUAGUCCCCGCUGUAACCGACGAGAGCUGAGGGUUAGGGGGUUUCCGCCCCUUAGUGGGUCUUAUAACGCAUUAAGCUCUCCGCUCGGGCAGUAGGGCCGCAGGGUUGAAAAUCAAAGGAAUUGACGAGGUCCCGCACAAGCGGUGGAGCAUGUGGUCUAAUUGGAAGCAACGCGAAGAGCCAUAGCCCAAUCUUGGCAUCCUUGAACAACUCUAGAGAUAGAGCCUUCCCCUUCGGGGGACAAACUGACAGCCGGUGCAUGGCAGUCGUCAGCUAGUGUCGUGAGAUGUUGGGUUAAGUCCCGCAACGAGCGCACCCCUUAAGCUUAGUUGCCAUCAUUAAGUAGGGCACUAUAAGUGGGCUGCCGGCGACAAUCCGGAGGAAGGUGGGGAUGACGUCAAAUCAUCAUGCCCCCUAUGAUUUGGGCUACACACGUGCUACAAUGGACAAUACAAAGGGCAGCGAAACCGCGAGGUCAAGCAAAUCCCAUAAAGUUGUUCUCAGUUCGGAUUGUAGUCUGCAACUCGACUACAUGAAGCUGGAAUCGCUAGUAAUCGUAGAUCAGCAUGCUACGGUGAAUACGUUCCCGGGUCU
rnacentral:rRNA from 1 species